rnacentral:rRNA from 1 species
GAUGAACGCUGGCGGCGUGCCUAAUACAUGCAAGUCGAGCGAACAGACGAGGAGCUUGCUCCUCUGACGUUAGCGGCGGACGGGUGAGUAACACGUGGAUAACCUACCUAUAAGACUGGGAUAACUUCGGGAAACCGGAGCUAAUACCGGAUAAUAUAUUGAACCGCAUGGUUCAAUAGUGAAAGACGGUUUUGCUGUCACUUAUAGAUGGAUCCGCGCCGCAUUAGCUAGUUGGUAAGGUAACGGCUUACCAAGGCAACGAUGCGUAGCCGACCUGAGAGGGUGAUCGGCCACACUGGAACUGAGACACGGUCCAGACUCCUACGGGAGGCAGCAGUAGGGAAUCUUCCGCAAUGGGCGAAAGCUUGACGGAGCAACGCCGCGCGAGUGAUGAAGGUCUUCGGAUCGUAAAACUCUGUUAUUAGGGAAGAACAAAUGUGUAAGUAACUAUGCACGUCUUGACGGUACCUAAUCAGAAAGCCACGGCUAACUACGU